GUUCGACAAUUUGUCUAGCUAAAAUUUACUGGCAACUCAAUUAAUCUAGACUGUGAUUGAAUUUUUUAAUGCUUACGUAAUUUCAAAUGAUCUAGUACUUCCUCCAUUCUGCGGAGUUGAGCAAUAUUUUUUUCGAGUUGCCCCGUGAACCUUUGGCAUUUUUCUUAUAUGAUAAAAUCUUUUUUCUUUAUUUACUUUUUUUUUUACUUUUUUACCUUAC
rnacentral:lncRNA from 1 species